rnacentral:rRNA from 1 species
CGGCGGACGGGUGAGUAACACGUGGGCAACCUACCUAUAAGACUGGGAUAACUUCGGGAAACCGGAGCUAAUACCGGAUAAUAUUUCGAACCGCAUGGUUCGAUAGUGAAAGAUGGUUUUGCUAUCACUUAUAGAUGGACCUGCGCCGUAUUAGCUAGUUGGUAAGGUAACGGCUUACCAAGGCGACGAUACGUAGCCGACCUGAGAGGGUGAUCGGCCACACUGGAACUGAGACACGGUCCAGACUCCUACGGGAGGCAGCAGCU